rnacentral:lncRNA from 1 species
UUUUUUUUUUUUUUAAGAUUAUAUUUAUUUAUUCGUGAGAGACAGAGAGAGUGAGUCAGAGAUGCAGGCAGAGGGAGAAGCAGGCUCCAUGCAGGGAGCCCGACAGGGGACUCGAUCCCAGGUCUCUAGGAUCACACCCCAGGCUGAAGGCGGCGCUAAACCACUGAGCCACCAAAGACUCCAUUUCUAAGUAAGGUCAUAUUCUGAGGUUCUAGGAAGGAUGUGAAUCUAGGGGGAUAUUUUUAUUCUCUUUUUGGGGGCGGGGAGGGCUAAGGGGAUAUUUUUCAAGCCAGUACAUUUAUACUUUUUCUCAUCCAUUUUUACUUUAUAUUUUUAUAUAUAUUACUAAAGUAGUACUGAAAUAUAUAUUUUUAAAAUAUGGAGCCAUACAUGUAUUGGCAGGGCAUACUUAAAAAAUUUUCCCUGACAUUUGGAGACCAUUUGUCCCUGUCACAAGUGUCCACGUGAAGAAACUUGGGUGGCUUUAGGACGAGAAAAGUUGUCUGGAGCAGAGGCUGAGCCAGGUGUUCCUGGGUAGCCCCAGCUGAAGGGAGAGAUACAUUCUGAUGCUUCCCAUAGUUCAGGGAGCCGCAUCCUUCCAGAACGCCUGCACAAACAAGGAAUCUGCUGGGCAUCCACAGCUGCUUGGUAUUUUGCUAAUUGCCAGGAAGGCGUCAUCUGCCCAGCGCAUCUGUUGAUUUGUUCUGUUUUUUUGAAAGCAAACAAGAAAAAUAAAACAAAACCCCAGAAAGCCUUCUUGUUGACGGACAUCCUUCAGAACCAUCUCCCAGCUUCUGUGUUGUCUCUAUACACACCUGCCUCUCUCCUGCUGCCGUGUUGAAGGAGGGGUUGAUUAGAUACAAAAUUGGGGCUCAGCAUCCCAGCUUCCUCCCCCUGGAACACAUGUGCCCCCACCAAAUCUCCCCCACACUUUCACCUUCUCAGGCCGGUCCCCUCGGGCACAGCAGAUGCUGUGGUGGCAGCGUGGGGUCAGUGAGGGCACAGGAACGCUCUGGGCUGCAGUCAGAGGGACAGAGCUGGCCCACACCAAGAGCUUCCUCUCGGGGUCAUUUCUAGAACAUCCGGCCCAGAGGUAAAGUGGAGCUUUUUCCAGCUCAGCUCUUACCCUCUCUCCCUCAAGAAGGGGAGCUUCCUCUGUCCUCAUAGCUCUCUUGCUGAAGAUCCAGCCCCCAGGGAGGGGCAGCUGACUUAAGCUUCUCACUCUAUCUGGGGCAGAUGAAGAUCCUUGAAGAUCAGGGCCCUAGUUGUCUGAUUCAACCUCUCUUCCUCCAUCUCUCUCUACCUCACAAGGCCUGGGUGCCUUCUCUCUCUUUUGGUUCCCAAGAUCCACGAGUCCAGUUGCCCUUCCCCCGCACCCCAGAAAGUCCUAGAGGCUGCUUCUCUCUCUAUUUUACCAGUCAACCUAGCAGCGCACUCUAUUUUAUGACGAUAACAGAAAGACAAAAAUGUGGAUAAGAGGGGUGCCUGGCUGGCUCAGUCCAUGAAGUAUGUGACUCUCAAUCUUAGGCUUCAGAGUUCAAGCCCCACUUGGGCAUGGAGCCUACUUAAAUAAAUAGAUAAAUAUAAAAAUAAAUAAUGCAAAUAAUAAUAAAAAACGAAUGGCGACUGCCACACUUCUGCGCUCUUGGGGAGAGGCACUGUUCCCCUCAGAGGCGGACCGGGUUCUGUUGGAGAAAAUGUUGAAGGGCGUUUGGAUUUUGAGAGGCAGGACAUCCCAGAUCCGACCAGAUGUGGUGGGGAGUGAGGCAGGGAAUGUGCUAAACUGUUCCAUGUAAUAAACGAAGUAAGAGGAAUUUGGGGAUUGUUCACUAUCAGCUUCUUAGUGAUCAGAGAAGAGGCUGGGGAUCUGGAUGAGAAAUUUGGGCAAAAGAGAGACCCGGAAAUGUGGAGGAAGUCAGGGUCUAGUAGGGGACCCAAGCCAGUGAGAAGUUCCCUUCUCGAGGUGAGGACUCAUCAAUUUGUAGAAACUGAGAUAUCUGACAUUGUAUUUGAAGCUCCAUAUACUUCUCUUCCCCCGAAUCUUGAGUGACCCCUGUUGUGCACAGCCACCGUGUGACUGCAGCGCUCUGAGAGAGGCAAGCGGAAAGGGUGACUUUCAUCUCCUGAGUGGUGAAGGGCAGAGAGAGGCCGGUGGCCCCAGAAGACAAGGGGGUGAGUGAAGACUGGGAUUCUGUGGGGGCAGGAAUGACAGGAGCAAUAACCCCGAGAAUGAACAUUGGGAGGAGGGCUCAGGCAGUUUUAUUUGAAGGUUAAAUAGAGGGAAACCCGGUAGGAUGGAAGCCUUGAGGACAUCUGAGUUCCAAAAGAAUGGUUACUUCCCCAGACUGCAGCCACAUCCCCCCACUGACCUCGGCUGACAGCGCCAUCAGCCCUGUGGGUAAGCUCAGGAGUUAACAUGUGAGGACCUGUGGAGGAUGGGGCCACCCCUCCUGCCUCACCCCAGGGUCAGGACCAGCUGAGAGGGAGGAGGAGCCAGCCCCCAGCCAUCCAGAUGAGCUCCCCCUCCCUGCCUCUGCUCCGCAUUCACCUUCCCUUCCAACACUACUGCCACUCGCUCCCAUCCCACUGCGGUCACUGUGUCCUCUUCCAAGUGGAAUGGAAGGUGCCCCAUUACAGCAUCAAGCAGGGAGUCUGGCACCUCCGCUGGCCCCUGCUGCAUGGUAGGACUAGGGCCACCGUGUCAUCUGUGGUGUCUGGCCACAGUAGGAUGACUCUUGCCUAACAAUCUCUGUCCUACUAGGGCUGCCCCUUUCCUUGUCUUUUGACUUGAGAGAGCAGACUUUUGUUGGGACUUUGAUUGUAUAUUUUGGUGUUUCUGGCCUCUUCUGUUCCAAUCUGGGCACAUGAGACAAUGAGGAAACCCAGAAACUCAUUGCUGAACUCCUUGAGUCUCAACCCCUAAUGGGUCUGCCUUCCAUCCACUUUUCAGAUCCUUCUUGGGUUUGUUUUGUAUCUAAUGUCCAGGGUUUUAAACCAGGCCUCACUCGUUAUUUUCAUGGUCGUAUUUUUGGAGAAAGGUUUAUUUCUCCCAACUAAUCUGAUCUACAGUAGGAAAAUUUUUCACUUCAAGUAUCGGUGUAAUUAAUAAGAAUCCCUGGCCUGGACGUACUUGGCUGCCCUCCUUUUUACAUAUUAUAAUUUGCUUAAAAAAAAAAAGUCCCCAACAUUAUAUUAUUGGAGUCUGAACUUGAAUAAUGAACUUCAGCCUGUAGAUCAUGUAUUGUUACACCUCACAUGUCAAUUAACCAUGAGCAAGUUUCUGUUGUUCUAAAGUAGAGGAAGAGUGAGGUGUGUGAGAGAGUGUCUCAGAGGAAAAGCCUCAGUGAACACAUCAAGGCCUCAAGCUGCGUCCCGGCGAACUUGCUCUCUAGAAAAUUCACCCAGGGGACAUUCUGUCUGGCACAGUGGGUCCUGCAUGGGGUUGAGGCUCUCAAGUCCCCUGGCACCCCCAAAUCCAGUACAGAUGACAUGACUCUUGGUGGUGGGAUUUUAGACUUGCAUUUUCUUUCUUUCUUAUAUUUUGAUGUGUUGUUUGAACAUUUGAUAUUUUAUUCUAAUCUAUUCUAUUCCAUGAAUGACCAUGUUUUCUACCCUUGUUCCCCCC